AAGACUAGACGUCCAGGGGUCAUUUCUAUAGUUCGUUACUAGAGAGGUUUCUCAGCGUGGGGAGCACCUGGAACCAUAAGGAGGAGAAGGAGUCUCUCUCCUGAGUGUGAAGCCGGCUUUUGGUGUUGCUUCGGUAACUGCCAUUGGCCACCUAUGAUCGUUCUUCUUUGUCCUUGGAGGAAGAGGGAGAAAAUGCUGUCUGAGUGGC